CAAUAGCGUAUAUUAAAGUUGUUGCAGUUAAAAAGCUCGUAGUUGGAUUUGUGGCGUACGGUGUGUUCCGGGCACUUGUUGCCUGAGUAACCUGCUGUUGCCAUCCUUGGGUGGAACCUGUGUGGCAUUAGGUUGUCGUGCAGGGGAUGCCCAUCAUUUACUGUGAAAAAAUUAGAGUGUUCAAAGCAGGCUUAUGCCGUUGAAUAUAUUAGCAUGGAAUAAUGAGAUAGGACUUUUUUGCUAUUUUGUUGGUUUGCGCAAAGAGGUAAUGAUUAAUAGGGACAGUUGGGGGUAUUCGUAUUCCAUUGUCAGAGGUGAAAUUCUUGGAUUUUUGGAAGACGAACUACUGCGAAAGCAUUUACCAAGGAUGUUUNCAUUAA
rnacentral:rRNA from 1 species